rnacentral:rRNA from 1 species
ACUCCUACGGGAGGCAGCAGUGGGGAAUCUUGGACAAUGGGGGCAACCCUGAUCCAGCCAUGCCGCGUGAGUGAUGAAGGCCCUAGGGUCGUAAAGCUCUUUCGCCUGUGAUGAUAAUGACAGUAGCAGGUAAAGAAACCCCGGCUAACUCCGUGCCAGCAGCCGCGGUAAUACGGAGGGGUUAGCGUUGUUCGGAAUUACUGGGGCGUAAAGCGCGCGUAGGCGGAUUGGAAAGUUGGGGGUGAAAUCCCGGGGGCUCAACCCCGGAACUGCCUCCAAAACUCCCAGUCUUGAGUUCGAGAGAGGUGAGUGGAAUUCCGAGUGUAGAGGUGAAAUUCGUAGAUAUUCGGAGGAACACCAGUGGCGAAGGCGGCUCACUGGCUCGAUACUGACGCUGAGGUGCGAAAGUGUGGGGAGCAAACAGGAUUAGAUACCCUGGUAGGAUAGCG